ensembl:snoRNA
AUGCUUUUCAGUUCAUAAGCAUGAUGACUGGGUAUUCAUGUCUGCAUGUGAGAUGUCCCUCCCUCUAAACCUUGUUACAAGGUUGGUGCAUUAUCCAUUUGGCA